GAUGAACGCUGGCGGCGUGCCUAAUACAUGCAAGUCGAGCGAAUGGAUUAAGAGCUUGCUCUUAUGAAGUUAGCGGCGGACGGGUGAGUAACACGUGGGUAACCUGCCCAUAAGACUGGGAUAACUCCGGGAAAGCGGGGCGCAUAUCGGAUCACAGUUUGAACGGAAUGGUUCGAAAUUGAAAGGCGGAUUCGACUGGCAGUUAUGGAAGUACCCGCGUCGCAUUAGCGAGUUGGUGCGGUAACGGCUCACCAAGGCAACGAUGCGUAGCCGACCUGAGAGGGUGAUCGGCCACACUGGGACUGAGACACGGUCCAGACUCCUACGGGAGGCAGCAGUAGGGAAUCUUCCGCAAUGGACGAAAGUCUGACGGAGCAACGCCGCGUGAGUGAUGAAGGCUUUCGGGUCGUAAAACUCUGUUGUUAGGGAAGAACAAGUGCUAGUUAAAUAAGCUGGCACCUUGACGGUACCUAACCAGAAAGCCACGGCUAACUACGUGCCAGCCGCCGCGGUAA
rnacentral:rRNA from 1 species